CUGUGGUGACAUUCCUAAUAAAAUGUAUAACAAAUAAUAAAGAUGAUGGAGUCGCCUAGAAGAAGACCUUCUCCGCGGGACUUCAGAGACGAUAUGCAAUGGACAAUGUGGUAGAACUUACUUGUCCGAGGGCAGUUAUCUGGAUGGUGGGCAUACCCGGAUGAGUGAUUUGAGUGGUGUUCAAAGCUCGUAUGAAGAUAUCCAGGCUUUCAGAGUUCUUUACUAAGAGGCCAGCCGAAUAUUCAUUGUAUUUUCUUAGUAGAUGAUGAAGCAGAAAAGCCUCGUCUUUCAGCAUGUGGUCAGCUGCAGAUGUAACCUUCUCCAGCAAUCCAUCCAAAACUGGUAACAGCUGUGAAAGAACAGUCUGAAAGAGAGGACAACCAAUUAAGAGGUCAGAGAAAAGACCAGGAAGCUGGAAGGACAAGAUCACAAAAGCUAGGAAGUAAUGAGAAACCAAGGACUGAAACAGGACUCAUGUAAGCUGCAUGCAAGAUUACCUGGACCACAAAAGUAGCGUCUGCUACUAUCUCUUCCAUUCUGAGCACCAGAUUCUGUAUGAGCAAGAAGUAUGGG